CCUACGGGAGGCUGCCGUGGGGAAUAUUGGACAAUGGGGGCAACCCUGAUCCAGCCAUGCCGCGUGUGUGAAGAAGGCCCUCGGGUUGUAAAGCACUUUCAGUGAGGAAGAACGCCUGGUGGUUAAUACCCAUCAGGAAAGACAUCACUCACAGAAGAAGCACCGGCUAACUCCGUGCCAGCAGCCGCGGUAAUACGGAGGGUGCGAGCGUUAAUCGGAAUUACUGGGCGUAAAGCGCGCGUAGGUGGCUUGAUAAGCCGGUUGUGAAAGCCCCGGACUCAACCUGGGAACGGCAUCCGGAACUGUCAAGCUAGAGUGCAGGAGAGGAAGGUAGAAUUCCCGGUGUAGCGGUGAAAUGCGUAGAGAUCGGGAGGAAUACCAGUGGCGAAGGCGGCCUUCUGGACUGACACUGACACUGAGGUGCGAAAGCGUGGGUAGCAAACAGGAUUAGAUACCCCAGUAGUC
rnacentral:rRNA from 1 species